CCACGUUCCAGCCACGACUGCCUUGGAAGUAAAUCAGGGAGUGUUUGUAUUUUUUUAGCGCUAUAUUGGUGAGGUGUAGUAACACUGUUUUAGGCGUACAUAUGAGUUUAUAGCCAGUUAUCUUUCUAAUCAUUGUCUCCACUUGUUCCAAGAAUGUAUGUAUCAGUGGACAUGACCACCAGAUGUGUUUUAAUGUGCCAUUUACCUGCCAGCAUCUCCAACAAGUGGGUGAGAGUGUCUAAACGUGUGGAGCUUGGCUGGUGUAUUGUACUAGCUGGAGACUAGUUUGUAGUUAGCUUCUUACAG